AUCACAACACAGGGCUCGAAUGUGGACAGGAGGAGGACCUAAGUGGACCCGGAGGCUGAGCUGGCCUCGCAGCACUGGUGGUGGGGGAGGGCUGAUGGUCAGGACUCUGGGUCUUUGGCACUGCUGCCUAGGCCGUGGCCCUCAGUCUGCCCAUCUGUGAAAUGAGGGGGAGCUGGUCCUGACUGCCUCCCAGGGACCCUGUGAAAAGCCGCUCUGAACUCCUUGCCAGAGAGGAGGUUUGCCGGUGCCACAAUCCAGACUGGAUGAUGAGAGGCACAGCUGAGUCCGGAGCAGACUGAGCCACCUAAGAGGGGAGGAACCGCUGCAGAGAAACCGUGUUAAGCCUUUUUGAAGUUCCAGAGGGAGAACAAGAGAGCGGAGGCUCCUGGUGGCUGGUGACAGCUGCUCUUGGCUGGGAGAGCAGAGAACAGGGGACAGGAGAGAAGCCCCGAGAGUACUGAAGCUGAGGCUGGGGCGGUCUUCACUUCCCUCUUUCCUCGGCCCUUUUCCUGUUCUCUUGUCUUGUCUCUCUUUCUCUACUUUCCUUCUCCCUAGCCCAGUCUCUCACCGCUCUUCAGCCUCUGGGCCUUUCCUUCUUCCUCUCUUGCCCUCAUUCUUCCUUCUCUGUCCCUCUUGUCUUCUCUUUUACCUCUUCUCUUCUUCCCUCCUUCCUACAGCUAUGCCCUCUUCCCUCCUUUCUCUUGUCCCCAACCAGGGCAUUAGAAAUGCAUUCCAGUUACACUGAUCUGAUCACUGCAUAUUGUAUGCAUGCAUCAAAAUAUCACAUGUACCCCAGAAAUAUGUAAAUUACUGCAUAUCAAUAAAAAGAAAUGUAGCUUC
rnacentral:lncRNA from 1 species